rnacentral:lncRNA from 1 species
CACCAACCCCUGGCACGGGACCCCACCGCUCAGCUGGCUGACGAUAGCGCGUCGGGUUGCCCUCCUGAGCCGCCGCCGGUGCUGACCGGCUCAACUCAUCAGCCGUCGGCGUUCCUGUUCCUGGGGCGACACCCUCAUCGCCGUCGUCGCCGCUCCUCCAUCCCGGUUCGUAGCUCACCAGAGGCUCUCCGGCCUCGUUUGCCGUUCCUGGGCGAGGCAGCGGAGAGGGAUGCGCCCCAAGUCCGAGUGGUCUGGCCUCCAACGAUGGGAUGUCGAGGAAGAAGAUGACCACAAGCGUGAGAGCAAGCGAAGGCUUCAGCAUCAUGGCUCGAGACUGCGUGCACAAGUAGAGAGGAGUGAGUGAGUGAGCGAGCGAGCAAGGCCAGAGCUACGUGCUUAUAUACAACCCCGUACGUGCCGGCGGUUGGGGACUGGGCUGGGGUUAUAGAAUGACUUAUGAC